rnacentral:misc_RNA from 1 species
UCGUUCUUGGCUACUGGGUAUCUUGCCAGUGGCCACUGUGUAAAUGUUUUAGAGCUUACCGGAAGUAGUGCCAUGUUUACACAAGUUUAACUCAGUGGAAGGGGUUGAGCAAGUUUGAAUGAGAUUAGUGGAAUUUUCUAGCGGAAGUUAAAUGUUACCUAUAAUUGUGGCGGACGCAAGUAAUUUUUCUGAGAGUGCUCAUAACCUUAUGCUAUAAAUUUGGCUGUGAUAAAGGAACCAAGGCUUCUUCAUAUGUUAGGCUUCACUUGGAAUACUGUGUAGUUUCUUGAGACUAAGAAAAGGUAUUGACUUAUUGAAAAGUGUUCAAAGGAUGGCUACUAGGAUGAUUCCAGCAAUGGAAGGGUUAUUUUAUGGGGACAGGCUAAGAUCUCUUAAGAAGGAUAAUGAAAAAAAAUAUGAUGGGACUCUAUAUCUUGUAUGCUACUAGGACAUUUAGAUGAUGAUAAUUGGCAGUUAUUGAAGCACUAUCAAAAGAAGAAAACCAUUCUGAUUGGGACUAGUCUGAAAAGUUGUAUACUGAAGGCAUCAAAGUUAAGGCCAAAGUUAUGCAUGGUCACUUUUAGACACUAAUGUUUUGUAUGAUCUUGUUAGACAAAAGAUGAAAAGACACUUGGGAGAAGCAGCUGAAUCCAGAGAGUAUAAACUCAUUGCAAAUGCAUCCAGAUCUGAAGACCUAUGUUACAGCAGUGGAGUAGAAGAAGGCACCAAUUUCUUCCAAACUUCAGUGACCAAGAAAGUUCUGUCUCUGUUUAUAAUGAUGUAUAUACCUAUGUUGCCAUUUUUGGCACUAAUAAACAACAGUAUAUGAUUAAGCUUUUGAAUCUGAAUCUUGAGAAAUUAAGUGAUUAAAAACAAUUUAGAAAUUCUCACGUUAAACAGAGUCUGUAUGUUUAAUGGCAGUCACAGUUGAUUUUCUUAUCUGAAAGACAUACAUUAUACUUACAUUAUUUUGGACAUGUUUUCAUUUUGGAUAGUCAUGUACAGCACUAGACUGAAUGCUACAAUUGACUUUGAAAAAGUUAAUUUUACUGUAGUAAUGUAUUUGAUUUUAUUAGCCUAAAAUAAUAUUUGUGUUAAAAUAUCAAGGCAUGGUUGUAUUUUCACUUUUCCAUUUGGCUGUAUUAGGUCUAGAAUUUUUAAAUAUGGUUCUGUAACAGUCUUUAAAUUUAUAUUAAAAUGUAUAUAAGCUUUGUUGAACAAUAGUGUCAGAGACUGCUUAAAAAGUAGCAAAGCAUGCUUCGCCAAAGAAUGCUAAAAACUGGUGUCUUGGUACUCUAUCAUCAAUGUCAUGACAACUUACUCUGUCAAUGGCACAAGAAUCUAGGUAAUUUCACAAUAUAGGUAUUUGGUACAGUAAUUUGUAUCAGUUAUGGUUAUAUACCU